rnacentral:misc_RNA from 1 species
UCGAGUUUUGAAAUGGGUUGUAGCUGGCCUUUUACAAGGCAUGUGCACGCUCUGCUCAUCCGCUCUUAACCUUAUGUGCACCUUUGUAGAGUUUUGGUGAAAGUCAGUCGUAAGAUUGAUAGGAUCCUACUCUAUGUUUUUAUAUAAACGCUUUAGUUUGAGAAUGUUAUCUUGCGUUUAACGCAUUAUAAAUA